AUUGAACGCUGGCGGCAGGCCUAACACAUGCAAGUCGAGCGAGCGGCGGACGGGUGAGCAAUGUAUGGGGCUCUGCCCGAUAGAGGGGGAUAACUACUGGAAACGGUGGAUAAUACCGCAAACUAUCGGAUGAACCCAUGUGGGAUUAGCUAGCAGGUGGGGUAAAGGCACACCUAGGCGACGAUCUCUAGCUGGUCUGAGAGGAUGAUCAGCCACACUGGGACUGAGACACGGCCCAGACUCCUACGGGAGGCAGCAGUGGGGAAUAUGGGACAAUGGGCGAAAGCCUGAUGCAGCCAUGCCGCGUGUGUGAAGAAGGUCUUAGGGUUGUAAAGUACUUUCAGCGGGGAGGCGUUACCCGCAGAAGAAGCACCGGCUAACUACGUGCCAGCAGCCGCGGUAAUUC
rnacentral:rRNA from 1 species